CCUAUUGUCUCACCAAUAGUUCCCUACUCAGCUGUGCGUUGACGGUAACAUUGAGGUACAAAGCGCUGAGGACAAUGUAGCCACGGGUAACUGUAGGUGCAGCCUGUAAAGGUAACACCGAAACUGCUAGCCGCAAGCGGUGAAG
rnacentral:ncRNA from 1 species